rnacentral:sRNA from 1 species
UCCUCGGUUUUCUCGGAGGCUUUACACA